rnacentral:rRNA from 1 species
GACGAACCGUCCAAACGUUAUUCGGAAUUACUGGGCUUAAAGGGUGCGUAGGCGGCGCGGACAGUUGGGUGUGAAAUCCCUCGGCUUAACCGAGGAACUGCGCCCAAAACUACCGUGCUCGAGGGAGAUAGAGGUGAGCGGAACUUAGGGUGGAGCGGUGAAAUGCGUUGAUAUCCUAAGGAACACCGGUGGCGAAAGCGGCUCACUGGAUCUCUUCUGACGCUGAGGCACGAAAGCUAGGGUAGCGAACGGG